UACGUAGGGGGCAAGCGUUGUCCGGAAUCAUUGGGCGUAAAGAGCGUGUAGGCGGCUCGGUAAGUCCGCUGUAAAAGUCCAGGGCUCAACCCUGGAAAGCCGGUGGAAACUGUCGAGCUAGAGUCCGGAAGAGGCGAGUGGAAUUCCUGGUGUAGCGGUGAAAUGCGCAGAUAUCAGGAGGAACACCAAUGGCGAAGGCAGCUCGCUGGGACGGUACUGACACUGAGACGCGAAAGCGUGGGGAGCAAACAGG
rnacentral:rRNA from 1 species